AUUGAACGCUGGCGGCAGGCCUAACACAUGCAAGUCGAACGGUAACAGGAAGAAGCUUGCUUCUUUGCUGACGAGUGGCGGACGGGUGAGUAAUGUCUGGGAAACUGCCUGAUGGAGGGGGAUAACUACUGGAAACGGUAGCUAAUACCGCAUAACGUCGCAAGACCAAAAAGGGGGACCUUCGGGCCUCUUGCCAUCGGAUGUGCCCAGAUGGGAUUAGCUAGUAGGUGGGGUAACGGCUCACCUAGGCGACGAUCCCUAGCUGGUCUGAGAGGAUGACCAGCCACACUGGAACUGAGACACGGUCCAGACUCCUACGGGAGGCAGCAGUGGGGAAUAUUGCACAAUGGGCGCAAGCCUGAUGCAGCCAUGCCGCGUGUAUGAAGAAGGCCUUCGGGUUGUAAAGUACUUUCAGCGGGGAGGAAGGGAGUAAAGUUAAUACCUUUGCUCAUUGACGUUACCCGAAGAAGAAGCACCGGCUAACUCCGUG
rnacentral:rRNA from 1 species